GGGCGGUUAACUCAGUGGCAGAGUGUCUCGUUUACACCGAGGUCGUCGGGGGUUCGAAUCCCUCACCGCCUACCA
rnacentral:tRNA from 1 species